AUUGAACGCUAGCGGGAUGCUUUACACAUGCAAGUCGAACGAGUGGCGGACGGGUGAGUAAUAUAUCGGAACGUGCCCAGUAGCGGGGGAUAACUACUCGAAAGCGUGGCUAAUACCGCAUACUAUUGGAGCGGCCUUUAUCGGAUUAGUUAGUUGGGUGGGUAAAGGCUCACCAAGGCAACGAUCCGUAGCCGGUUUGAGAGGACGACCAGCCACACUGGGACUGAGACACGGCCCCGACUCCUAAGGGAGGCAGCAGUGGGGAAUUUUGGACAAUGGGGGAAACCCUGCUCCAGCCAUCCCGCGUGUAUGAGAAGGCCUUCGGGUUGUAAAGCACUUUAAGUUGGGAGGCGGUACCAAAAGAAUAAGCACCGGCUAACUUCGUGCCAGCAGCCGCGGUAAUAC
rnacentral:rRNA from 1 species